rnacentral:rRNA from 1 species
AAACAUGUCUUUUUGAAAAUAAUUUAAAGUCUAAUCUGCCCACUGAUAUAAUUAUUAAAGGGCUGCAGUAUAUUGACUGUACAAAGGUAGCAUAAUCAUUAGUCUUUUAAUUGAAGACUUGUAUGAAAGAUUUGAUGAAAUAUAAACUGUCUCUAAUUUAUUAAAUAAAAUUUAAUUUUUUAGUUAAAAAGCUAAAAUAAAAUUAAAAGACGAGAAGACCCUAUAGAGUUUUAUAAUUAAAUUAUUUAAUAUUAAAUAUAUAAAUAUUAAAUUAAAAUUAAUUUAAUUAUUUUAUUGGGGUGAUAGAAAAAUUAAAAAAACUUUUUUUAAAUAAUAAACAUAAAUAAGUGAAUAAAUGAUCCAUUAAAUAAUGAUUAUAAGAAAAAAUUACCUUAGGGAUAACAGCGUAAUAUUUUUUUUUAGUACAAAUAAAAAAAAAAGUUUGCGACCUCGAUGUUGGAUUAAGAUAAAAUUUAAAUGCAAAAGUUUAAAAUUUUGAUCUGUUCGAUCAUUAAAAUCUUACAUGAUCUGA